rnacentral:rRNA from 1 species
GACGAACGCUGGCGGCGUGCUUAACACAUGCAAGUCGAACGGAAAGGCCCUGCUUGUGUGGGGUGCUCGAGUGGCGAACGGGUGAGUAACACGGGAGUAACCUGCCCUUGACUUUGGGAUAACUGCAGGAAACUGGGGCUAAUACCGGAUAGGAGCUCCUGCUGCAUGGGGGGGGUUGGAAAGUUUCGGCGGUUGGGGGUGGACUCGCGGCUUAUCAGCUUGUUGGGGGGGGAGUGGCUUACCAAGGCUUUGACGGGUGGCCGGCCUGGGGGGGUGACCGGCCACAUUGGGACUGAGAUCGGGCCAAGCCUCCUCCGGGAGGAAGCAGUGGGGAAUAUUGCACAAUGGGCGGAAGCCUAAUGCAGCAACGCCGCGUGCGGGAUGACGGCCUUCGGGUUGUAACCCGCUUUCGCCCGUGACGAAGCGUGAGUGACGGUAAUGGGUAAAGAAGCACCGGCUAACUACGUG